AACAAAGAGUUAACCUAGGAUGAGUGUGCCAAGGUUGAGAUCCCUGACUGAAGUUACAGAUGGCUGUGAGUCAUCUGCGUAGCUGCUGGAGUAGCAAUAAGAGCCCUUCAUCACUGGGCUCUCUAUCCCCAGGCCUUAUUCCUGAGGAAAAAUAAUUCUGAGUGUUCAGUGAGUUCCUAAAGUGUUUGCCAAGCCAUUUCAACUUGACAGGACACAGGCUCUCAUCUUGACCUGCGCUUUCGUGACCUGUCAAUCAAAGCGCAUGUGUAUGAAGUGAAGAUCUUUGCUUGCAGUUUCAAAGCCAGUUUUCAAGUCAUGAAGAUAAAUGCUUGGCGCACCUCUUGCAAUUUGCUGGUGAGUUAUGAUCUCCAUAGGUGGAUGCUGCCGGCCUACCAACAGCAGGCUGUGUGUGAUCUUUGAAACGGUUAUUUCCACAAGAAAGCAUCUUCCACAUUACCUUCUGGAUUGCUGCUUUAAAAAACUCGAAGUCAUCUUUGAGAGAGUUGGCUAGAAUUUGAAGGCACAGAACGAUGCAGCAUGUGCUUUCUGUCAGGAUUGCACAACUGAACAGCAGAAGUUUGUGGUAGUGAUGAAGAGCAUGAGUCUCAGAGUCUCUCAUUAGGAAAAACUAGAGAGCCGAAUGGGAGAAAUGCCAAUGUUUGGAGUGUUUCAGAUAAAGCUAUAAAGUGCAGACAUUUCUCUGAAGUUUAUCUGCGUUCAUCUGAACAACCCAAGUCUAGAGAUCAGCUUGCAGAUCUACCACAGUAAUUUCUCUGGCAAGACUUCCAGUGUCUCCCUGUUCCUGACUCUUUCAUUGGAUCUUACAACCUUGGCUUUGUUUUGUCUUAUCCCUGUAAUAAAAGGAACAUGAUGGCAUCUUCAUUUAAUGGGAAAACUAAAGAGCAAAAAGGUGGUCUCUCAAUUAGUUGUUGUUGCAUCACUAACAGAUCUGAAUAUCAGAACAUGUUUAAAAUACGCUAUAAAGAAGAUAAUGUUUUUUACAGAGACAAUCAAAAGUGGAACUUCCUAAACUAGUUGGAAUGCUAACAAGUGAGAUUGUAUUGAGCAACCUACCAAGAUAUAUAAUCUGAAAUCACGAGCAUUUGAAUAUAGCUCUUGGCACAGACAGACAAUUGAGACCAUCACCUGCCCUUACAAAUGUAAAGGAUAAAUGAGUAAAUAAAUAAACAAACAAAUGGAAAAAUAAAUCGAAAGGAUAAAGAAAGAAAAGAGAAGAAAAGAAAACAAAAAAGAGUUCUGGCUUCAUUUACUUGCCCAACAAUGGAAACGGUGCAACAUUUACCAACCCCUUGGGAAAUCUUACUAAAUCACAGAGUUUAAUUCCACAGGGCAAAGAUAGGAUUCGAGUUUGAGCAAUUCUGCGAGGCAUCCAGGGACAAUCAAAAGUGGAACUUCCUAAACAUGUGCUUAGCAAGGAUGAAUGACACAUGCCAGAGAGAAGAGGUAACACUUUUGUAGAGGUACAACCCUACACAAAGAACUACAAGCAACUAAAGACUGCUGAAAGUGGAAGAAAUAUACAGACUAAGCUGGUUUUAUUUGUGUAAUUAGGAACGUGUCUGUGUGUGUGUGUGUGUGUGUGUGUGUGUGUGUGUGUGUGUGUAUAACACUAAGAAAUGGAAAAAGAGGGUCUGAAUUUGCAAAAAGCAAAAUGGAAUAUUUGGAAGGGUCUGAAGGAAGGAAAGGGAAGGAGAAAACUAAGUAAUUAUGUUAUAAUCUCAGAAAAA
rnacentral:lncRNA from 1 species